AUUGAACGCUGGCGGCAGGCCUAACACAUGCAAGUCGACCUCGUGGCGGACGGGUGAGUAAUAUCUGUGAACCUGCCUGAUGGAGGGGGAUAACUACUGGAAACGGUAUCUAAUACCGCAUACCAUCAGAUGUGCCCAGAUGGGAUUAGCUAGUAGGUGUGGUAACGGAUAACCUAGGCGACGAUCCCUAGCUGGUCUGAGAGGAUGAGCAGACAAACUGGAACUGAGACACGGUCCAGAAUCCUACGGGAGGCAGCAGUGGGGAAUAUUGCACAAUGGGCGCAAGCCUGAGGCAGACAUGCCGCGUGUAUGAAGAAGGCCUUCGGGUUGUAAAGUACUUUCAGCGGGGAGGCGUGACCCGCAGAAGAAGCACCGGCUAACUCCGUGCCAGCAGCCGCGGUAAUUC
rnacentral:rRNA from 1 species